AACACUUCCAUUUUUUUUAUAGUAGAAGAGGAAAACGUAUCUAUAUGGCAAGAAGAAUAAGUUUCUAGAAGAAGCUUCCAGGUUAUUGUAGGGCAUUUCUAUGUCUGAGGUACGACUGGGCAGUCUCACAUACCUCAUUUAAAAAUGUCUUAGAGGGACUUCAUGACGUCAGAGACAACGCACAGCUGGGUGAGGUGUUAUUUACAGAAAUAGCAGCUGUUUAUUUGGUCUUUUAAGCUCUCACGAGGAUGAGUUGACUCACUCUGGUUGUUAGGAGAACCCAGCGGACCAGAUGAUGAUCCUGCUUUCAGGAGUGACACAUCCUACCCGUGCACUCUGGACAAGCCUUUGGAUGUCACCACCUCUGUCUGGGCUACAAGCUAUUGGCAAGUCUUCCAGCUGAAAGUCCCAGUUGCACAGUCCCAAGGCGCUCCACAGCAUUCCCAGGUCGCCGACAGUUGACUCCAGAGACUGCUUGCUUCCAAGCCAGGUCUGGAGGUCAGAAAUCUGAAAUGGGUCUCCCUGGGCUAAAUUAAGAUAACAGCAGAGCUGGUUUCUUCUGAAGGCUGCAGGAGGAAGCUGUUUUCCUGCCUUUCCCAGUUUUUGGAGGCUGCCUGCAUUCCUUGGCUCAUGGCUCUGCAUUGCUCCAAUCUCUGCUUUCAUCAUCACGUCUCCUUUGACUCUGACGUUCAUGCCUCCCUCUUUCACUUAUAAGGACCCUUGUCGUCACGUUGGGUCUACUCAGAUAGUCCAGGGAAAGCUCUCUAUCUCAAGGUCCUUAACUUAAUCGCAUUUGCAAAGUCUCUUUUGCCAUGGAAGCAACAAGUAAUAUUCAUUCGUGGAGAUAUGAACUAAUUAGGAAAAACAAACCAGUCUUAGCUGUCUUAUUAAGAGGUAAAAUUCUGGUGGAAUUUGCAUUUUUAUGUUUAUCAACUUUUAAAGUAUAUUUGCAUUCUUUUGAUUAAUUGUGUACUAAAUGUGAAGUAUUAUGAUAACUUUUCAGAAGAAAAGUUUUUAAAAAACGUUUGGAUGUGCAUGGUCACAGGGAAUUUAAAAAAAUCGUCAAUUUACAGCCUGUUUUUUUUGGAGUGAAUUAUGAUGGGCUUAUUUAGCAAAAUUCUUUAAAGUAUAAUAUAUUAUUGUAUUAGGGUAAAGGUCUAUGGAGAAGAUGAAAUGGAAGUAAGACUUGGAGGAACAUUAUAAAAGAGAUAUGUAUGUACAUUUAUAUUUUUAAAUGGACAAUGCUAAGUAUCAAAUUCCUUUGGAAUUUAGAUUCCAUUAGAAACAUGUAAAGAGUGUAGUAAUAGCUUUAUUUUAGACUUGCAAUAUUUACACUUCACUGGAAGUCUUGUCUAGCAACUUCUUAACUUAGGAUAAAAAGUGAAUAGGUAACUUAAAAAUGUGAUAGGUAGGACACAGUCCUUUGAAAUUACUUUAGGGAAUAGAUGAGCAAAAAGUGUUGAAGAACAGACAACCAAGAUCAUCCAUAAUGAUUUAAAAGCAAGAUUUCAAAUGAGAUUAAUAACUAUAGGCUAGGGGUGGCAGAGAGCAUUGUUUCAAAGAAUGAUAGAGCGUGGACUGGCCUCUGACAGCAGGUGGGGUCUGGGAUCGGAGGAUGAUAGAAUUUGCAGAAUCCAAUCUGAGAAUUGGCAGGACCCAAACCCUCACUCUCGUCUGCAACCCCAGGGAAGCAGAGGAUGUGUGGACAGGAGCAGGAGAGUAGAGAUGGCUGCAUGGGGGAAAUGCCCGGGAUUGCAUAAAGUUCCACUCAUAUGGUUCCUCCUAGUGUCUGCUCUGGGUUGGAAGCCAGUUGUCUCAUUAAUGCACCCUGUUUAGCUUAUCUCCCUCCCCUGUCUCACUUUCCUCCAUGCCCCUCCCAAAGAAGCUACCUGCAUCCGAGUUCUAUCUCAGGAUCUGCAUUUGGGGGAACCCAAACCAAGACAUGUGCAGUCAGUUACUUUCUUAAAUGGAAUAAAAUUAAGUUCCAUUCAAUUUAGCGUGCAUUUAUUGGGUGCAUUCUAGCUUGGCUCUAAGGAUACCCAAUAAUUAUUUAUUGAUUGAUUAAUCAGGAUGGCAUGGCCAGGAGUAUCAACUGAUCCCGUCUCUACUGAGCGUACAUAAACAGAUUUGGAAAAAACUGACCUUGAAGAAAUUAAUCUUAGAAAGAGACGAUAUGUGUAGUGAGAAGCUGAUCUGUCAAAAGCCAGAAAGGAAAUGGAGAGACAUAAUGAAAGCUGAACAUUUAGUGCAAUUCUUUUGGAAUAACUGUAAUUUUUCAUUAAACAUUUUUUCCUUCUUACGAAAUUUGCUGCUGUUCCCUUGUUGCAACCAGGAACCUUAAAAGAACCCAAGUGCAGUGUCUGGUUUUAAAACAACAGUUCAGCUUUAUUCAUAAGGGCAAAUAAGAAUCAGGUUCUAGUCUGAAGUUAAUAGGAAAUAAGCAACAUUUCCCCCUUAACUUUCACUAUGGCUCAUGUAAGUGCUAGAAAUGCAAUUACGUAAGCGUCUAGCUGACGUUUGGAGUGUUGCCUUGAUUAUUUAACUGUAGUUAUAAAAUGUCUAAUUUGCAUAUUGCAUUUUUUUCUUUUGCAGCAGUGGUCUAAAGCUUAUAAACAAGGCUUUAUUUCUUAAGAAAAGUGUUUAAAACAGAGGCUUCUGGCAGUGAGAAUACAGAGACUUAACCAGCAUUUGGCUUUGAGCUUCUGUAGGGAGGUAUGUUUAUAACUACUAUUGGAGAAAACCAAAAUUAGAGAGAAAUAAUGAGAGAGAAAUAGAAAAGUUAUUAACGAGUAGAACCAGAGAGCUUGGAGGAGAAACUGAGUUUCAAAUCUCUCUUAAAUGGUUCCUCCAAAGGUGUGACCUUGAGCAAGUGGUGGCCUCACUUCUUCCAUCUGAAAUGAUGAGGACCACUUGUGAUGCUUAGAAUCAUCACUGGGGCUUGCUGUCAACUGGUUGCUUUUUCUUUUCUGUAAGGAAGAUUGGCCCUGAGCUAACAUCUGUUGCCCAUCUUCCUCUUUUUGCUUUAGAAAGAUUGUCGCUGAGCUAAUAUCUGUUCCCAUCUUCCCCUAUUUUUUAUGUGGGAUGCCGUCACAGCAUGGCUUGAUGAGCAGUGCUCAGUCCACGCCCAGGAUCCAAACCUGUGAACCCCAGGCCGCUGAAGCGGAGCAUGCAAACUUAACCACUACGCCACUGGGUUGGCCCCUGGUUUGCUUUUUGAUGCUCAAAAUUAUUGAAUAAGUUCUUCCUUCACCACAGUGUUGCAGUGUUUUAAUAAGGAACAGACACAGAUCAGAAAAAAAAAAAAAAUAGAGCAUGACAAGGCAAUGCUGGUUCUUAUAUCCAUAGAAUGUCUGAGUUGGAAAGAAAAUUAUCAUCAACUACUUAAAAAUCAUUUUAGGGCUCUUACUAUGUGCUAAGCACUCUGCUGGACACUUUACAAAGAUAACCUCAUUGCAUCAUUUCACCAAUCCCAUAAGGGGGGCAUGAUUAUGUACAUCUUAUAGAGAAAGAGACAGGCUCCCAGAGGUAAUGUGGCCAACGUCUUAAACUAAAAGUCAAAGAGGAAAGAUUUGUUAUGCUUUUUUUAGCAACUUUUUUUUUCUUUUCUCUUUUUUCUUUUGGUGAAGAAGAUUUGCCCUGAGCUAACAUCCGUUGCCAAUCUUCCUCUUUUUUUAUCCCUGAGCCAACAUCUGUGCCAAUAUUCCUCUAUUUUUUG
ensembl:lncRNA